GGGUAGGCUCGGUCGCCGGAGAGACCAGCAGCCUGUAAAGCUGUCGCCUUUGCGCUAUGGGGGUUCAAGUCCCUCCCUACCCA
rnacentral:tRNA from 1 species